AACAGGAUUAGAUACCCUGGUAGUCCACGCCGUAAACGAUGGGUGCUAGGUGUCACGGGUAUUGACCCCUGUGGUGCCGCAGCUAACGCAUUAAGCACCCCGCCUGGGAAGUACGGCCGCAAGGCUAAAACUCAAAGGAAUUGACGGGGGCCCGCACAAGCGGUGGAGCAUGUGGUUUAAUUCGAUGCAACGCGAAGAACCUUACCAAGGCUUGACAUGCAGGGAAAUCCGGCAGAGACGUCGGGUCCGCAAGGGUCCUGCACAGGUGGUGCAUGGUUGUCGUCAGCUCGUGUCGUGAGAUGUUGGGUUAAGUCCCGCAACGAGCGCAACCCUCGUUCUAUGUUGCCAGCGCGUAAUGGCGGGGACUCAUAGGAGACUGCCGGGGUCAACUCGGAGGAAGGUGGGGACGAGGUCAAAUCAUCAUGCCCCUUAUGUCUUGGGCUGCACACAUGCUACAAUGGCCGGUACAAAGGGCUGCGAAACCGCAAGGUGGAGCGAAUCCCAAAAAGCCGGUCUCAGUUCGGAUUGGGGUCUGCAACUCGACCCCAUGAAGUCGGAGUCGCUAGUAAUCGCAGAUCAGCAACGCUGCGGUGAAUACGUUCCCGGGCCUUGUACACACCGCCCGUCACGUCACGAAAGUCGGUAACACCCGAAGCCGGUCGCCUAACCCACUUGUGGGAGGGGGCCGUCGAAGGUGGGAUCGGCGAUUGGGACGAAGUCGUAACAAGGUAACC
rnacentral:rRNA from 1 species